UAUCAACAUCACAUCACCACCACCAUCAUUACUACUAUCACAUCACCACCACCAUCAUUAUUACCAUCACCACAUCACCACCAGCAUCAUUACCACCAUCACCACAUCACCACCACCAUCAUUACUACCAUCACCACAUCACCACCACCAUCAUUACUACCAUCACAUCACCACCACCAUUACUACCAUCACAUCACCACCAGCAUCAUUACCACCAUCACAUCACCACCACCAUCAUUACUACCAUCACAUCACCAUCAUCAUUACCAACAUCACCACAUCACCACCACCAUCAUUACUACCAUCACCACAUCACCACCACCAUCAUUACUACCAUCACAUCACCACCACCAUCAUUACCACCAUCACCACACCACUACCAGCAUCAUUACCACCAUCACAUCACCACCACCAUCAUUAUGACCAUCACAUCACCACCAGCAACAUUACCACCAUCACAUCACCACUACCAUCAUUACCAUCACAUCAUCACUACCAUCACCAGAUCACUGUCACCAUCAUUACCACAUCUAUCACAUAAUCCUCAUCACCACUGCUACCCUCAUGACCACAUCAUUACUACCAGCGGCCCUAGCCCCAUCCUCUCAUCUCUACUCCAAUCACCCCUGUCACCAUCACUUCCAUCACCAGGAUCCCACCUCCCUUACUAUUAUACCAUCCACCACCCUACUUACCACUGC
rnacentral:lncRNA from 1 species